GCCCGUAUAGCUCAGUCGGUAGAGCAGGGGAUUGAAAAUCCCCGUGUCCGUGGGUCGAUUCCGCGUCCGGGCACCA
rnacentral:tRNA from 1 species